UAGGGAAUCUUCGGCAAUGGGGGCAACCCUGACCGAGCAACGCCGCGUGAGUGAAGAAGGUUUUCGGAUCGUAAAGCUCUGUUGUAAGAGAAGAACGUGUGUGAGAGUGGAAAGUUCACACAGUGACGGUAACUUACCAGAAAGGGACGGCUAACUACGUGCCAGCAGCCGCGGUAAUACGUAGGUCCCGAGCGUUGUCCGGAUUUAUUGGGCGUAAAGCGAGCGCAGGCGGUUUAAUAAUUCUGAAGUUAAAGGCAGUGGCUUAACCAUUGUUCGCUUUGGAAACUGUAAAACUUCAGUGCAGAAGGGGAGAGUGGAAUUCCAUGUGUGGCGGUGAAAUGCGUAGAUAUAUGGAGGAGCACCGGUGGCGAAAGCGGCUCUCUGGUCUGUAACUGACGCUGAGGCUCGAAAGCGUAGGGAGCAAACAGG
rnacentral:rRNA from 1 species